UUCAUACUUCAUAUGAGAGUUUCACGCUUCAUGUAAGAGACAUCAGCAUUCCUUACUCUCCAGAUGCAGCAGACAAGGUUCGCAGCAAGCUCCUUUUUCCUUCCAGAUUCAAAGACUCCAUUAAAGAUAACCACCAUCUCCAUGGCUCCAUUCCUACAAGAUCCCAUGCGCCAACCACGCUUUGACAUCCCCACAGGCAAUGGUGUACCGAUUCUUCCAUAGUAUCACAAAUCAGACAGGUUCCAAAACUGGAACACUACUUCAUAUCCUGAAGCCACCGAAUAUUCUCCAGAUUUCUCCUUUUAGCAGAAGAAGAAUCCAACUCCGGCAGCUACAGCAGGGAGAGAUGCAUAAAUCUUUCGCAUGGCCAUUGGUGUAACGAUAGAUUGAUAGGAAGGAAUAAGAGCCUUGUGAUGAGUAUAUAUUUAUAUAUGUAUAUAUAUGAGUCCAGAGAGAAUAUUAAGAAGAUCAGAUACUUUGCUAGUGAAAGGAAGCAAUCAAUGGUUUAUAUAGGGACCUAACGGGUAAAAAAAAAAGGAAAAAAAAGGAGAUAGCAUGGUGUUUUAUCUUAUUUUAAUUUAAUCCAAUCAAAACAGUCUAAUAGAUUUGUUCCAAAAACAAAUAAAAGAUUUGUUCUGUUUUA